UUACUCCUUACACCAGGUCCUUCCAAGUGUUCCCCUCCAGAGGGCAGACCUGACUCUUAGCGAGGCCCCUCCCCUCUCCCCUCCUCCCAAGGACAGUAUUAGUACCUGCCCACACCUGUUACACUGAUAACCAAGCCUGGAGCCAGAGCAAAAGCAGAAAUUUGAGGCAGCAGCCACAGAAGGGGACUACACUCUCACCCCAAACCUAACCUGGACCUCUCAUUGGAGCUUCAGGGAUUCCCAGGCUUGGAAUUGAGAACAUCAGGCUUCACCCCCACCUUGUACCUGACAGUUCUGUUGAAGAGCACCUCUACUAAUGAGCAUCUAUCAUCCGUGCAACUUUUCCAGUGUCUACUAUCGAUGCAAUGUGCUUAGUCUGCAGGCCCCAGUGAUCAUCAUUCCGGUGCUGCUGUCCUCCUCCACCCUGUUUGUGGUUGCCUGCAUCAUAUGGAAGACAUGCCGGAGGUGGAGGACUACUGGGGAGUACCCCCCCUCCCAGUGACAGGUGCCUGAGAUGACAGUUCAGUGCUUCCUUGGGACCACCUGCCUGCUUCUUGUUCAGCUUGGGCCUAUCACUACAUCGUGGCAGCAGCAUGGGACCAUAGCAGCAGCACUUCCUUCCACUGGGAUUAACAGCCCAAAUGUGAACUAGCAAGUAGAGAGACAAUCUUGAAGAAUCAGCAGCUGCCACCAUCAUUUUCUGCUUGGGGUAGGCAAGGCAAGAAGUUAUAAACAGCAACAAAUAUUUAUUGAACAAGAUAGUCCAUAUCACACACGUGUGUGUGUGUGUGUGUGUGUGUGUAUUAAGCUUUCAACAAACGUUUGCCGAGUUAAUAAAGGAUGCUAAACCAGUCUUUUCUAUUACUAUCCAACACUCACAUACUUCUCUAUCCUUUCUGCAUUUUUCCCCCUAGAGUGAUGAGGGUCUUGAGUCAAGGACAUGUGCUUUACAGCCAAAAGAUGCUACAUACAGGCAUUAAUUUUCUCAGCAAAAAUUAAUUUAGUGCCAACCAUGUAGGAGACAAUGUGAUUUAGCAUAAGGUGUACCCUGAUCUUGAAAUCUUAAUGUUUUCAAUUUCCUUUGAUCAUUUUUAUUCUGUGCUUCCUGGUUGAAAGAGUUGAGAAAGAUUCUACGUGGGCACAUGGAAGUUCUAUCCUUUCCUUAUUCUUUUCUUGUCUCCGAUACAGCCCCUUUUGAUUACCAUUUUCAGCUAACAGCACACCCAGAUACUUUGACAGGAAGGUGUCAUUCUUGUAUUUUCAAUCUGUUAUUGUCCUUCCCUUUCAUUUUCUAUAUGUUUUAUUUGUAAAUCUAAAUUGAUCAAUAAACUUCUAGUGCAACUUGCUCAGUCUCUUUAAACUCCUCUCCCUUUUCUUCUUUAUCAGAACCAUGUGUUUCAUUACAAUGUUAUUCUUAAGAAAGGAUCUUCCCUUCAACCCAUACCUGAACAUUCCAAAGCAUGAGUACAUUUUAUAAAGUUUAUUAACUAAAAGCAUAUAUACGAAUCCAGAAAUAAUACAUCUGGACAAGAGAACUAGCAGUAAGUAUACAAGAAAUCUCCCCAGUGUUACACUAAGUGGCUCUGAGUUUGGACAAUUUGGGUUCUCUGGACUGAGCUCAUAAACCUUAGUUAGGGAUCCCCACCAGGGAUUAACAAUAAAAACCAGAUAAACAGAUCAUUUCUACAAUCUUUACAUUCAUAAAAGAUACCCCUAUACUUUAUACGCAUAUUCCUUGUUCCCUACAAAAACCAAAACAUACAGUCCCUUGCCUAUCUGAUCAGAAUUUCCAUCUCAUCUACUACCCCAUUCCACCUACACCUGGUGACUUUACCUUCAUUAUAACCAAAGGUUCGGCUAUCCUCUUUAAGCUUCUAAUGCCUAAAUCUAUAUAUCCAUCCUUAUUUUUUCUCUUGAAAUCCAGAUCCAUAGCAUCUCCACUUGGGUGUCUUUCUCAUUGGCACUUCUAACGCGACAUGUGCAAACCUGAAUAAUUAUUUUCUCUUCUAAACUUAUCUCCUUUGACCGCCCCCACUCCAUCUAAUCAGUUAUCUUAUACAUACAUCGACACAUCAUCUCCUCCCUCCUCCCUUUCCAUUUAUAUCACUCUAUUUCUAGUUCUCAUAACCUCUUCUGGAAUCCUGUCAUAGAAUAAUAGACUAGAAGCCAAGAAGGUGUGUACAAAAUAUGCCUCAGAUACUUAUUUCAUUUAACCUAUUAGCCUGUUUCCUUCUCUGAAAAAAAUGAGCCUGAUAAUAGCACUUCUCUCCCAGAGUUGCUAUGAAAACCAAAUAAGACAAGUUAAAAAUGUUCUGCAAUCUUAAAGCACGAUGUGAAUGCUAUUAUCAUUUACUCCUGAUUUUUUCCUUUUCACUUUACUUUUCACAAAGCCAUCAGAUUUUUUUUUCUUUCCAAUACACAAGUCUGGCUGUAUCACUGCCUUAGUCAAAGAACUUCAAGGUUAUUCAUAAGGUAAACUAUUUUAAAAUUCCCUGGCUUUGCAUUUAAGGACUUGCCGUUAUGGCUCUUACUUUUUUCAGAAUUAUUGUUCGUGACCCCUAUCCUGUAUUUAAAUCUGUAAGUCCCAGUUAACUUGCUCUGUUAGCUGUUCCCCAAUCUCACCUUGCUUUCUCCCAUCUCUACAGACUCCCCAAGGUCUAAAAGUCAUUCCCCCAAAACAUCUCCCCAAAACAGAAUUUAACUUUUUCCCAAAACUCUCCCUUCUUCCCAACUUUUCCUCCUUGUUAAGAGCAAAUUCUGUGUGGAACAGAAAUGUAUGUUUUUGUUGGCACCCCCAGUGUCUUGUACAUAAUAGGACCUUAACUAAGGAUUAGUGUCCCUGAGAACUGAUCUUGAGAGAGAAAUGUCUAGAUCAACGUUCCUUCUUGGUCACUUAGAAAAGUAGAAGUGGGUGAAACAUUCAAAGAUAGGUAACAACAGUUGGGACUCUUGGCAGCGAUUUAGAGUUUUCAUGUUUUCAGUUUUUAAGUUUAUUUUCUUUUCCUCUCACCUCUUCCCCCACCCCCUGGAAGACAAACAAAACCCUUUUAAUAAAUAUGUAGUCCAGCCAAACAAA